rnacentral:misc_RNA from 1 species
UUAAGUUCAGCGGGUAUCCCUACCUGAUCCGAGGUCAACCUAAGAAAGUUGGGGUUUUGGCGGGUGGGUCUAGGACUCAAGAGCGAAAUAAUUACUGCGCUGAGAGCCUAUAGCACUGCCACUGCGUUUAAGGGAUGCCAUACGGCAAGCCCCAAUACCACUUGCGUGAUUGGUCAUAAUGACGCUCGAACAGGCAUGCC